GAUGAAGAACGCAGCGAAAUGCGAUAGGUAAUGUGAAUUGCAGAAUUCAGUGAAUCAUCGAGUUUUUGAACGCAUAUUGCGCCCCUUGGUAUUCCGAGGGGCAUGCCUGUCCGAGCGUCAUUGCAACCCUUCAAGCACGGCUUGUGUGUUGGACGGCCGCCCCAGUGUGGGCGGGUCCCAAAUGCAGUGGCGGCGCCGCGAUCCGGGUGCUCGAGUGCAUGGAAACCACGCGCUCGUUAGGCCCCGUCGGGCGCCGGCCGACCUAAUUAUCUUCGUUCUGGUUGACCUCGGAUCAGGUAGGAAUACCCGCUGAACUUAAGCAUAUCAAUAAGCGGAGGA
rnacentral:misc_RNA from 1 species